rfam:Gossypium arboreum cultivar AKA8401 contig_68523_1, whole genome shotgun sequence.
UUAACGGCGCUUUUAAGCGCCACUAAAACCUUUUGCGAUGCUUUU